rfam:Pseudomonas sp. MF4836 contig005, whole genome shotgun sequence.
AAACGUUCUCAGGGCGGGGUGUAACUCCCCACCGGCGGUAAUUGCGCGCAAUGCGCAUAGCCCGCGAGCGCUUGGCGACACUCACGGCUUUUACGGUGAGUGGCGGCAAGGUCAGCAGACCCGGUGUGAUCCCGGGGCCGACGGUCAUAGUCCGGAUGAAGAGAGAACGGGA